GGAAAUUUGAGAGGAGCUGUCCUUAGUACGAGAGGACCGGGAUGGACAUACCUCUGGUGUACCAGUUGUCGUGCCAACGGCAUAGCUGGGUAGCUAUGUAUGGACGGGAUAAGUGCUGAAAGCAUCUAAGCAUGAAGCCCCCCUCAAGAUGAGAUUUCCCAACUUCGGUUAUAAGAUCCCUCGAAGAUGACGAGGUUAAUAGGUUCGAGGUGGAAGCGUGGUGACACGUGGAGCUGACGAAUACUAAUCGAUCGAAGACUUAAUCAA
rnacentral:rRNA from 1 species